GACGUAGGGGGCUAGCGUUGCUCGGAAUCACUGGGCGUAAAGGGUGCGUAGGCGGGUCUUUAAGUCAGGGGUGAAAUCCUGGAGCUCAACUCCAGAACUGCCUUUGAUACUGGCGAUCUUGAGACCGGGAGAGGUGAGUGGAACUGCUAGUGUAGAGGUGAAAUUCGUAGAUAUUAGCAAGAACACCAGUGGCGAAGGCGGCUCACUGGCCCGAUACUGACGCUGAGGCACGAAAGCGUGGGGAGCAAACAGG
rnacentral:rRNA from 1 species